rnacentral:lncRNA from 1 species
UGGAUAAUGAAACUAAAGAACUGCUUUAUUUAUCAAUGACUUCAUUCAUAAAAUUAUUAAAUGUCAUGGUUUUUCAAUCACAAAAUUCAAAAUCUAAAAGAACUAUAUGAAUGCAUGACAUAUUUCAGAGAAAAACACAGUUUCAAUAACCAGCCCGUACCCCGAUUGGAUGAAUGGUCAAAGUACUCUUGUAUACAGUGUAGAAAGUUGAACAAGAGUGAACUUUGGCAUAAAGAUGCAGACAUAAUGCUGACAUAUUUGCAUCACGUUUUACACCUGUGAGAUCCAGCCUUUAGUAGACUUUUAUUUUUUCCUAUUAACAAAAAAAAAAAAAACUCCUGAUUUAUAUCAACUUUAUCUGAAAAGUAAUCAUACCUCGACUU